AUGACGCUGCAUCCUUCAGUCAUUUUUGACAAAACAUUUUGGAAACCCUAUGCAGAUUCAGAGUAUUUGAAAAAGUCCAUGGAAGGACACAUUUCAGAGGCAGCUGAAAAAGGAGCUUGAGAUGUCUCAGGAGGAGGAAAGCAGAAGAGAGGCUGAGGAGGAGUCAAAGCACAUACAGAGGUGACCAAAAUCUCUAUGGGAAUGUCCAGCUCCCUCUGACAACUCCGGUGACUCAACCCCUGACCUCUGACCUAUUUGAAAAGCCUGCCGAGCCAGUCGCAGAGGUUAAGACCCUUCCUGAGCACCCUGA